GCUGGUGGCAACUUCAGGGGUGACUGAUUCGUAAUCAGUAGGUCGGUGGUUCGAGUCCACUCACCGGCACCA
rnacentral:tRNA from 1 species